rnacentral:rRNA from 1 species
UGCCAGCCGCCGCGGUAAGACAGAGGGACCUAGCGUUGUUCGGAAUGACUGGGCGUAAAGGGUGCGUAGGCGUUUCUUUAAGUGGGGUGUUAAAUCCUUGGGCUCAACCCAAGAACCGCAUUCCAAACUGGAGGAAUAGAGUAUGGUAGAGGAGAGUGGAAUUCCUAGUGUAGAGGUGAAAUUCGUAGAUAUUAGGAGGAACACCAGAGGCGAAGGCGACUCUCUGGGCCAUCACUGACGCUGAGGCACGAAAGCGUGGGUAGCAAACAGGAUUAGAUA